rnacentral:rRNA from 1 species
GACGAGCCACCCAAACGUUAUUCGGAAUUACUGGGCUUAAAGGGUGCGUAGGCGGUGCAGCAAGUCGGGAGUGAAAUACCCCAGCUUAACUGAGGAAUUGCUUUCGAUACUGCUGUGCUUGAGUGAGACAGAGGUAAGCGGAACUUAGGGUGGAGCGGUGAAAUGCGUUGAUAUCCUAAGGAACACCGGUGGCGAAGGCGGCUUACUGGGUCUCAACUGACGCUGAGGCACGAAAGCUAGGGUAGCAAACGGG